rnacentral:rRNA from 1 species
GAUGAACGCUGGCGGCGUGCCUAAUACAUGCAAGUCGAGCGAACGGACGAGAAGCUUGCUCCUCUGAUGUUAGCGGCGGACGGGUGAGUAACACGUGGAUAACCUACCUAUAAGACUGGGAUAACUUCGGGAAACCGGAGCUAAUACCGGAUAAUAUUUUGAACCGCAUGGUUCAAAAGUGAAAGACGGUCUUGCUGUCACUUAUAGAUGGAUCCGCGCUGCAUUAGCUAGUUGGUAAGGUAACGGCUUACCAAGGCAACGAUGCAUAGCCGACCUGAGAGGGUGAUCGGCCACACUGGAACUGAGACACGGUCCAGACUCCUACGGGAGGCAGCAGUAGGGAAUCUUCCGCAAUGGGCGAAAGCCUGACGGAGCAACGCCGCGUGAGUGAUGAAGGUCUUCGGAUCGUAAAACGCUGUUAUUAGGGAAGAACAUAUGUGUAAGUAACUGUGCACAUCUUGACGGUACCUAAUCAGAAAGCCACGGCUAACUACGU